rnacentral:rRNA from 1 species
AGUGAACGCUGGCGGUAGGCCUAACACAUGCAAGCCGAACGGCAGCACAGUAAGAGUUUGCUCUUACGGGUGGCGAGUGGCGGACGGGUGAGGAAUACAUCGGAAUCUACUUUUUCGUGGGGGAUAACGUAGGGAAACUUACGCUAAUACCGCAUACGACCUACGGGUGAAAGCAGGGGAUCUUCGGACCUUGCGCGAUUGAAUGAGCCGAUGUCGGAUUAGCUAGUUGGCGGGGUAAAGGCCCACCAAGGCGACGAUCCGUAGCUGGUCUGAGAGGAUGAUCAGCCACACUGGAACUGAGACACGGUCCAGACUCCUACGGGAGGCAGCAGUGGGGAAUAUUGGGCAAUGGGCGCAAGCCUGAUCCAGCCAUACCGCGUGGGUGAAGAAGGCCUUCGGGUUGUAAAGCCCUUUUGUUGGGAAAGAAAAGCAGCAGGUUAAUACCCCGCUGUUCUGACGGUACCCAAAGAAUAAGCACCGGCUAACUUCGUG